rnacentral:misc_RNA from 1 species
AAGUCGUAACAAGGUCUCCGUUGGUGAACCAGCGGAGGGGAUCAUUACAGAGUUAUACAACUCCCACACCAUUUGACAACUUUACUCAGUUAUGCCUCGGCGUAAGCUCCGUACGGGGCUGCCGGGUUGCGCUGCGGGCGACAGCUACCCUGUAAGCUUACCCUGUAGCGCUACCCUGUAGCGUUACCCUGCGGCGGCCCGCCGGUGGAAACGAAACUCUUGUUUUAUUGUACUUCUGAGCGUCUUAUUUUAAUAAGUUAAAA